rnacentral:other from 1 species
AAUACCCUGCUCUGUUCGUGAUGUGCUGAGUUAAGUUGAUCCGACACCUUAAUUACAGGGAAUGUGUCGUCCGUUAACCCCGAUGGGGUUCCCGGCGCACUGCCCACUUAAAUUCUGGGACCUCAACUUCUUCGGCACCACGGCAACCGUGGGGUAUUU